AGGCGGACGAUCGCUCCUCGGGCACGGAACACCACGGAAUACUACGGAACGGAACGAAACGGGACGGAGCAGCUCUAACCUGAUUCGGGCAGAGCCAGCGACUACGGCGAAAGAGAAGGAGGCAGAGGCAGUGACAGUGGAAGAGGAAGAGGAGCAAGGCGAAGGCAGCGGAGGCAGCAGAUCCAUCCGAUCAGAGCAAGCAAGAUUCCAACGAUGCCCACGAUCCGCAGAGGGAAGCAGUUACUCCGAUUCCGAUUCCUACUCUACAGAUCACGCACACUACCCUGCACCAUGUGCCUGUGUUCGGGUUCGGAUUCGGAUUCGGUUCUAUUCAAUUCGACAAGAUACGAUUCGGAUGGGAUGGUAGGAGAUGGUAUGGCAUAGGACGGAG